UUCGAUCUCAAAUCAGGUAGGACUACCCGCUGAACUUAAGCA
rnacentral:rRNA from 1 species